UUUUACUCAUACAACGUUUACUACUACUACUACUACUGAUACUACUACUACUACUACCACCACCACCACCACCACCACCGCUACUACUACAACGACGACAACAACAACUACUACUGCCCCUGCAACAACCGCUGCAACAGUCACGUACAUUGGAUGCUACACGGACAACAGGAACAGACUGCUGCCAAAUGCAAAAACCAUAAACCGAGGUUUGACGACUGAACGCUGUUUCCUGCACUGCCACGGCAAAGGAUACAGAUAUUUUGGAACGCAAAACGGUAGAGAAUGUUACUGUGGAAACACCAUCAAGGAUGGAUACGCGAUGGUAUCAGAUGCUCAAUGUUCAUCAAACUGCGCUGGGGAUCCAGGGACUAAGUGUGGGGGUGUAUGGAAGAUCUCAAUCUAUGAAAUCCUUGUUUACACAUAGAUUACAAGCACUUCUUUUCCGACUGCUCGACCACAUCACUUGUUCCAGCACGGAAAACGUCGUCUAUGGCAACAUAAGUCAGCAAACCAUCAUGAUACAAGCUGUAUCUAAGCUUUCAAUUCACACUUGCGUUAGGUAUAAUAUUAAACGCAUGUUUGCAAAAAGUUGAAAUCGAUAGAGGAACAAUGGACUGAAAGUAGGUUCGUUUCGUUUCCAAUUCUAUUUUACAUCGAUUAACUGCAGACAGUAGGCUUAUUUCCUGCAUUGUGUUAACUCAUGUGACAUAUUUGAUAUAGCCCAGGUAUCCUGCAUGUAUUUACCUUCACCAUGUCUAUCAUGCACGGAGUCUCCAGUCCUGCAAGUGCUGAAUACUCUUGUUUCCGUUGUUUUUAAUGUAAAAUGAGUAUACAGUUUUUCAAUCGUAAGUCCUACUUUAAUUAUAUGCACAUUGACUUGAUCGUUGGUUGUUGCCCUGUUGUCUGGGAUCCGAAUUUAUUUGUUUACACAAUAACAGCGAUAGUUAUGCCGUUGUUUCCCCAGGGAAGCGAGGGCACUUGGAUGUAGUAUGAUCUAACAAAAGAUCACCCGAGAAGGAGCUGAUAACGUUGACAUGUGUAGCUGUAAGUUUCCGAGCGUUACGUUACAAGUAUGUCUUGUAUCUGGGCCCACUUGCACAAUGCGAUUUAAGCGCCACGACUAUCUUAAGCCAAUGUUGGAGAAUGGGAGUUACAAUCAUUGUAGUGCUAAGAUCGUUGUGUGCAAGUGAGCCCUGGUAAAUAAGUCCAAAUGUAGAAUGAAUGAAUAUGUGGGCUGGCGCUACUGACGGCCUGGAGAAAUGAAUGUUGGGUAAUUCUUCUUAACUAUUCAAUACACUGUUUGACAUAAAUCCCUGAUGGAAUAGGAAAUAAUUAUAUUAGGCUUUGAAUUGCAUAUCACUCUUUUAUUAUACUUUGUUACGUUUCAGAGUCUCCACGUAAAGCAAUCAGCCAUUAUAUAGACAGUUAAUGAUCCCGUUGUUUUGGCUAUGUACAACAAAAUGAAUAAUUCACUGCCUCAUUCAAGUGGCUUUUAUUGUCCUCUCUGUCUUUCAAAACCAUGAAACGACGAAUGUUAUUCGUGGUUUUAUUAUUCAUGUAUUGCCUCUCCCACUCCACUAUACAGUAUAUAACGUCUCUGGGGAAAACAGAUGUUUCAGUGUUGUAUGUAGACUUGUUUUGAGGAAGGUUGGCGACAUUCGAGAACGAUAUAUAUGUACGGAUACCUCAGUAAUUACUUGAGUGCCGGCUAGAGCUAUAACUGGUGCAUACAUGGAUUCGUAAUUAGGUACCAGCUGUUUCAUAUUUUGUGGAUUGAAAUUUUUCAGCUGCUACACAUGCAAACAAAGAUAGUAACUAUUGUGUCGAACUUACCGCUGUCUCGAAGCAAUAGCUUGGUCCCUGCGGGUUCCUAUUCAGGCAUCAUGUAGCGAUUGAGUCGUCGACCCUAGGAUAACUCGAUAACUUGUUUUACUUUGAAACUAUGAGCCUAUUUUGUAAACGUCUUCCUAAAAAGUAUUAUUUGCGAAAACAUUUUAACAGUCUAAAACAUGAUCAAAAUGUCCAAUGAUACCCUACUAUAUCCGCCAUAAAGCUGGAAUAUUGCUGAGUGCGGCGUAAAACUAAACUCACCCUACUAUAUUGUUUUCUUUGAAAUCAAAGUGUCGUUCCUCCAUCCAAAAUACAAUGGUCUAUAACUCCGCGCCAGAUCAAAUACGAAAGGUGAACCU
rnacentral:lncRNA from 1 species